CCUACGGGAGGCAGCAGUGGGGAAUCUUGCGCAAUGGGCGAAAGCCUGACGCAGCCAUGCCGCGUGAAUGAUGAAGGUCUUAGGAUUGUAAAAUUCUUUCACCGGGGACGAUAAUGACGGUACCCGGAGAAGAAGCCCCGGCUGACUUCGUGCCAGCAGCCGCGGUAAUACGAAGGGGGCUAGCGUUGCUCGGAAUUACUGGGCGUAAAGGGAGCGUAGGCGGAUAGUUUAGUCAGAGGUGAAAGCCCAGGGCUCAACCUUGGAAUUGCCUUUGAUACUGGCUAUCUUGAGUAUGGGAGAGGUUAGCGGAACUCCGAGUGUAGAGGUGAAAUUCGUAGAUAUUCGGAAGAACACCAGUGGCGAAGGCGGCUAACUGGCCCAUUACUGACGCUGAGGCUCGAAAGCGUGGGGAGCAAACAGGAUUAGAUACCCUGGUAGUCCACGCCGUAAACGAUGAGUGCUAGUUGUCGGCAUGCAUGCAUGUCGGUGACGCAGCUAACGCAUUAAGCACUCCGCCUGGGGAGUACGGUCGCAAGAUUAAAACUCAAAGGAAUUGACGG
rnacentral:rRNA from 1 species